GUGCUCGCUUCAGUAGCACAUAUACUAAAACUGGAAUGAUACAGAGAAAAUUAGCCUGACUCCUAUGUAAGGAUGACAUGCUAAUUCAUGAAGUGUUCCAUAUUUAA